ensembl:lncRNA
GAGAGACAUGGCCAGGGUGGUGAUGGGCUGACGGUUGGACUAAAUGAGCUUGGAGGUCAUUGUCAACCUUAAUGAUUCUAUGGUCCUUUGGUUCUGCUUCUUCCAUGAUGCAGUUUAAUGGUUGAGUGGAUUUAAAUGGAGGCCAGGAGGGGUAAUGCUUUUUCCUUCUCUGCCCUUGGCAUUACUCUCCCACUGCUGCUCUCAGUGCCGAAGCAGUUUGCUUUGGAGUCAGCUAAACAGCUGUGCUGGAGAAGCAGACCCAGAGGAAACACACAGGUGAGAAGAGAAGGAGCAUCUAUUUGGCUGGCAGCCAUGUCACGGAGCUGCUUGACUGGAUGCCUGCCUGGCCUUGCAAGGUGCCAGCUUCUUGUCUUUACAAAUCCAAAGCAAUCGAGUUGUUGAGGAACAAUGUGGAUUACAAAGGCCUUUAAAGGUGAAGAUAAAGCUUCCACAGUCAAGGGAGUCAGGGCAGUGAAGUUUCCAGGGGAGAUUAAAUGAUUCAGAAAGCAGACUCUCUUGAGGAUGCCUUGCAACAUAUGUUUUGUGGAAAAAAAAUUGUUCCCCUGAAGCUCCCUUGCAAUCUGUAGACCUCCCCAGACUAAACCUAAAGGCCUUCCUGUAAAUAAAGAAGGAGCAGGCUCUGAAGGCCACCAAGGCCUCCAUGCCUCCAUGAAAAGCUUCCUUGUGCCAGUGUGAGAGGGAUGGAGCUGUGGGUGCCAGCAGGAGCACUGCUGUCAGCUGGUUUGGCUUUCCUGUACUCCACAGCUGAGGGAAACCAGCUAAGUUACUGGGGUGUCUGAUACAUACAGAGCCUCAUGUGGUUUUUUGGGCUCUAUCCCAGAUUGCUUUCUGCCUGUCCUGGUGCAGGAAGGUUUCCAGGUGAAACACUUGAUGGAAAAUUCCUGCUAAGGAAGAAAAAGUAGAGGCUUAACCUUUGUAACAGCCUUAAUGGUGGGCUGGGGUCAAACCUGGUAAAGCUGAGGCUUGGAGUGGUGCCAUCCCACUGAGCCUGUGCUGUGUGAGGGACACACGGGUGCUUCUGCUGCUGUCAGGGCGCAGGGUGGUGAUGUGGAGAUCCUCACUGGUUGUUCCUUUCUUGCUGCACCAAGUGAUGAUCAGAAGAAAAUCUGAACUCGGCACCAAAGCCAAGCUGAUUGUGGAACUCUGGGAGGGGAGGCCCUGUGAGGGAAAUGCAGAGAGCGACUGAAUCACUUCACCACCCACUGAAAUACUCUGCAGAUGAAGUUGCGUUGUUUAAGCAGAAAGCUCAUGCUGAAAUGAUGUAAUCUUGAAUGUAUAUAGGGGGGAGCACGCAAGAAUUAUUACCUUAAUUAUUAGUGACAGCUUUGGCUGAAUUUGAAAGCGUAUCCUGAAGGCGAAAAGCAAUCCUUGGAUUUACAGGAUUUCUACAUCAGCUCCAGGACUUAUAGGCCUCCUCCGUCAUUGUUUUCCUUCAUUUUUCAUCUUCUAAUUUGGUAACGAUCCUUUCCCGUUGCUAGUGCUCCCGUGCUCUGUUUAUUGGUUGCUCUUCUUAAAAAAAAAUAUCCAGGCUUAGGUUUUCGUGGGAAAAAGAUGUGGAGUAGGGAAACAGAGGAAAGCCUUUGGGGUGAUUUGUGGCAUUUAAUAACGUUUAAUAUUUAAAGAACAUUUAAUAACAAACAAGGCCAACAGCUAUUUUUAAAAGGGUUCAAUUGGCUUAUUUGUAUCAGAAGUAGUGGGGGCCAAAAAAGCUCUUACCCGCUUUGUUGUGAGGCUCAGGGUAUUCUGCCCGUGGUAUUUAUCCCCCUGCUGCGUGCUUUAUCUUCUGCUGGCCUCCGUGGGGGAUUUUAUAACACACUGCUUAUUUCACUCUAUUGCUCUGAGAUGUCAGCACGGUUUUGCACGUGGAAUGUUUUAUAAAUAAAUCAUCAGUUUUCACAAAUCAUUUGUUCUGUGAAGUGGGCAGAGUGUUUUAAAUGGCGUAUAAAUUCAGAGUCGCGAACUUUGAAAUGUGGGUUUGUAGUUUUGACCUGCUGUAGUUAGAAUUUGUGUCCAGGCAGGUACAAAGAGGACACACAGCAGGAGCCUGGCUGUCCAGCAGCUGUAACAGAGACCCAGGAGAUACCAGGAGGUGAGGAGCUGCUGAUGAAUCUAGCUGUCUGGCUGUAUCUGCUGGCCUCUGAAGGCCAUUCCUGCUCCUGUAGGGCUUGGCACUUAAUCUCACUUAAAGCACCUCUGCACCAAUAGUUGUCAGCGUGGCAGGCUCUGGCCACCUCAUAGCAUCCAUCUGGGGGCCUACUGUGACAUUCCUAACUGGGGAAUUUUAAUAGUUCUCUCUGUGUUGCAUUAACACAUAAUUGAGGCUUCACUGGUUGUUUUUGGCAAAGACCCUUUCGGGCUCAGCACUGCAUGGAAAAGGCAUCCGGGCAAUUGCCUCUCUUUUUAAGAGCGGGAUGUACAGGAGCAGUCACACACCUCAUUCCACACUCAAAAUAGCAUAGCUCUUUCUAUGGAAAAGUAAAUUCCCAGUUCCUGAGGGAAGAAACACUGUUGAAUAGCACUGUGUGGACUUCAGUACUGUGUACACUGCAGUGAGGGUGAGCUUCAAGGGACAGUAACAAGAUGGGGCUGUACUCACAGGGCUCCCUACUGAGAACUGGGCUGUUGCAAUUGGUAACCCCAGUGAAAUUCUCCCGCAGACAUUUGCAUCCCGAGCACGCUGUAGACUCCCUUAAACCAUUAUUACAUUUUUUCCCUUCUGCACCUCCCUGCUUCACACCCCUUGUCAGGACCGUUUCUGUUCUGUGCUGGCAAAGUGCUGCCAGCUGCUGAUUGCUACUUCAGGGCAAGGGCAGAUGAUUUUAUAUUUCAUAACAAACGUUUCGUAAGAUUUCCUAAACUAAGUUGCUUUUUUUCCUCAGCUCUCUUUACCAAUUGUACAAUUUCCUUUCUUUUUUUUUUUCCACGUUCGCAGCCUCAUAUUUCAGACUAGAUUUAAACUCUGAAGCUCCCAGACUUCGGUGCGUGUGUAUUUUCAACAUGCAUUUGUCCCAGCAGUAGCUAAAUUUGCUAGAUGACAUGGGCAGAGUUUUGCAACGCCUCCUGCCCCAGCCCAGACACACUCUCUCCGGGUGAGGGACUUUGCUGCUCCGUGUUUACAUUUUGUCUCUCACAACGGCAGCUCGUCCUGGCGGAGCCCUUUGGUACUACUGUGCUAUAAAUAAUCUGGCUCUGGUGUACCUGGUAAAUGUUUUUAAGAUUAGUCCGUAAGUGCUUCCAGUGUAAGUGCUUGGGUAUUAUGUUACAGUUAUGUUAUAAUGGCACGGUAUAGUGGAUGCUGUAAGAAAAAUCUUGGUCUAACGUGCUUGGAAAAUUCUUUAAAUGUACCAGUAGGACUUUAUUUUCUGAGAUACAAAGUUUGAGUUCUUCCCUUCAAAGUAGCGUUGUUUCCUUCCAAGCUCUUGGCCUCUUCGCGCCACCUCCAGUUAGAUACAGCUCUGAUGCAUGAAGGUUUUUUGUUGUUCCCUCAUUUUCUUUUGACAGUAACUCCAAAAAAAGGCUUUUUUUCAGAGUAGGAAAGUUGUUUAAAUCUUUUCAUUCAGUGUUGUGGUCUCUCUCUGCGUUUCAGCGAUGAGGGACUUGGCAGGGCUGGGCUUCUUUUUUGAUUUGGAAGAUAGCUUUGGUUUGGAACAUCCCAAAAUAAACGAUGUCCAAAAGUUUCCUCUUUGUCUGCUGUGAUUUCAAAGCAAUUUUCAUGGCUCCGUUCAGGACUGCCUAAUAGAAGAAAAUGGAGCAAUAAUUACUGCCCACAGAGAUUCUAACACAGCAGUUAUUUAACUAGGAACUGACAAACAUCUCUUAGAAGUGUUCCCGCUCCCUGAAGAGCUGCGGACUUUGAGCCAGGCCCUUCUGCUGGAACCGAGCGCACAGCUCCUGCUGCACUCAGGCAUGCAGAGCAUGGGAAGAGCCGGUGCUGUGUUCGCUGGCUGCUCCUCAGAGCAUCGGCAUUGCCCCACGUGUGCCCCAGGUGGCACGGCUGCUGCACACCAUGCCGUGUGCUCCUUCCAUGCACUCCUAACGAUAUAAAUGAGCCUGUUUGUCCCACUGCAAAACCCACAGCGCUCACUAGGUUCAGACCUCAGGCUUAAACUACUGACUGGAGUAGCUGUAGGUACAUCUGGUGGUCACUGACUUCACUCAGGCCAGCUUUUCUUGAAACAAGCAUGGAAUUGUGAAGCAGUACAAAGCAAGGUGAUGCAGGCAGCACAGAGGUCUGUGCAUGUGCUUUGUCCAAUGCCACUGCCUGUAUAGCACCUGCCAGCUCACGUUUUGAAAAUAAAAUGCCAAUGGUAGUCGUGUGAACCCAGAGUGAGCCACUGAAGUGGGGUUUUCUGAAGGGCCGCAUUGGUAGGCCUGGCCCAUCCUGGUCAGGCUUCUCCUUGCUGGAGGCCGAGUCUGUGAACAUCUGUUCACGGCUGUGAGAGCAGCUACGCGGCUUCUGGACCGCAGCUGCAGAGAUCAACGCCAAGGAAUUUCUAGGCUGGCUCUCGUCCACCUUGGUAACCACCCAUGUCCUUGCAUGAUUCAGGAGGGCAAAAGCCACAGUCUACCAAGCGCAGUCUGUGCAAGGGUUGGAUCUGACAGAAAGUGCUUAGCAGUGUGCCAUCCCCAGCAUGAGCUUCUUGCUCCUGUGUUUGGUGGGCAGGGCCGUGCCACCAGCCUGGUAUGGAAGCGAAUGAACCGUGUUCUGCAGCAGAAAGGGAUUUUAUUAACACUUGAGCGAUCUCAUGUGUAAUAUCUCAAAUUAUUCUUCUGGUGGGGGAGCUUCUUAAGGGGGCAAGUACAAAACGUCUGCUGUGAUCAUUGAACAGGAUACGGCAAAGAAAUAGUGACACAUACCAGGUUACCUGGUCUAAUGUAAAGCAAAAAUAAAAAAAUCACGGCCAUUUGUGGAAAAGUAUAUUUGUUACACUUGUUUUGUUGUUGUUGUUUAAGUUGGUUUGUAUUAAGUGUAUAUCGAGAAGAUUCACAGAGUGGUAGAGUUACUUUUUAUGUUCUGUAAGAAUAAAUUUCAUCUUCUCCUACCGCCUGCCUUUGAGAUGAUAAAAAGAUGUACAAACACCCCGUCUGCACUGCCACCAAUCUUCACAGAGCGGUGAGUGCUUUCCCUUUGAAAAUGUUUUCUAAUGGUCUCUCUGACUAAUGUAUGAUUUAAUUGAAAAACGGAUGCUGCUACGAUGGAAGAAGUUACUUGUGAGCCAAGAGUGAGCCAAGUUGCUACAGGAACGAGGCAAGUUCCCCAGCUCUAUAUGUUGUAUUAACACAAGAACCCCGCUUCUUAUUCUAACCACUAACUGAUAAAGGCUGCCAUUGUAAAAGCCGUGUGUGUUGAUCCAUUUAGCCACUAACCAAACCUGUGCUGAUACAUAGCACCGCUGUUCAAAGGAGAGUGAAGCAUCACAAAAGAACCAAAAACCACCAACAAAAAACCACCCCAAAAAAACAGAAAACAGUUUGUACCAAGAGCGACUUUGACUCACAGCUUUCGCCUGCCCUUGCAGGCUGUGGCAGCACAAUGUUGACCAAAGGUUUCUGUCUUUUUGAUGAUGGUGGUUUUCUGCUCCAGCUUAGAGUUAUGUUGGGAGGGUAUAUUGAUUACUGUAAUUGUUCAUUAAUGCACUCUUGUUUUAAUGUACUUCUAGGGUUAUGUUCUUCAGAAUGAUGAUAAAUUAUGGUAGCUGCAAUUAAUGUCACUGCAGUUAAAAGGAUGUCAGCAUUUCUAUUAAUACAGGAUGUAUCGAAUCUAACGAGAUGAUAAAAAUAGAGUUGAGAGAACCUCUGAAGAUUCACAUCCUGACUUGUGGAUAUGGAAAUAUUGUCACAUGAACGAUGAGGGGACGACCAGAAGGAAACGUCGUGGUGAAGUUUUUCCUUCAGAUGAGAGGUAAUGGAAACAGGGAGGGACUUGUUCUGAGCAGCUGGAGUGACACAGAAGCACCAAGGAGCUGUUGUGUCGAUUGGGAUGCAGGUUGUGCAAGACGUGUCCGCAGAGCGACAGCGUGCUGAGCCUGGCACCUGGGAGUGAUGGCACACCGGGGUCCGCGGGGUG